rnacentral:rRNA from 1 species
GUUUAUUUGAUAGUACCUUACUACUUGGAUAACCGUGGUAAUUCUAGAGCUAAUACAUGCUAAAAACCCCAACUUCGGGAGGGGUGUAUUUAUUAGAUAAAAAACCAAUGCCCUUUCGGGGCUCCUUGGUGAUUCAUGAUAACUUCUCAGAUCGCAUGGCUUUACGCCGGCGACGGUUCAUUCAAAUUUCUGCCCUAUCAACUUUCGAUGGUAAGGUAUUGGCUUACCAUGGUUUCAACGGGUAACGGGGAAUUAGGGUUCGAUUCCGGAGAGGGAGCCUGAGAAACGGCUACCACAUCCAAGGAAGGCAGCAGGCGCGCAAAUUACCCAAUUCCGAUACGGAGAGGUAGUGACAAUAAAUACUGAUACAGGGCUCUUUUGGGUCUUGUAAUUGGAAUGAGUACAAUUUAAACCUCUUAACGAGGAACAAUUGGAGGGCAAGUCUGGUGCCAGCAGCCGCGGUAAUUCCAGCUCCAAUAGCGUAUAUUAAAGUUGUUGCAGUUAAAAAGCUCGUAGUUGAACCUUUGGCCUGGCUGGCAGGUCCGCCUCACCGCGUGCACUUGUCCGGCCGGGCCUUUUCUUCUGGAGAACCGCAUGCCCUUCACUGGGUGUGUUGGGGACCAGGACUUUUACUUUGAAAAAAUUAGAGUGUUCAAAGCAGGCCUUUGCUCGAAUACGUUAGCAUGGAAUAAUAGAAUAGGACGUGCGGUCCUAUUUUGUUGGUUUCUAGGACCGCCGUAAUGAUUAAUAGGGACAGUCGGGGGCAUCAGUAUUCAAUUGUCAGAGGUGAAAUUCUUGGAUUUAUUGAAGACUAACUACUGCGAAAGCAUUUGCCAAGGAUGUUUUCAUUAAUCAGUGAACGAAAGUUAGGGGAUCGAAGACGAUCAGAUACCGUCGUAGUCUUAACCAUAAACUAUGCCGACUAGGGAUCGGGCGGUGUUUCUAUUGUGA